UCCAGGGUAGCCGAGUGGACUAGGCACCUGCCCGGUAAGCAGAAGGGUGUGGGUUCGAUUCCCGCCCCUGAAC
rnacentral:tRNA from 1 species